AUCCAAAUUCAGUCCCUUAAACAUAUACAAAAAAUUCCAGCAAAAAUUACAAAACAAAAGUUCCAAGGCAAAAAAAAAAAAAAAAAAAAAAAAAAAGAACACACGCACAAACAAUUACAAAAACUGUUUAAUUUGUGACUCGUUAUUUUUAAGCGAAAAGUGAAAUUUUUUUAUAUUUUUUUUAUACAAAAUACAAAGCUCACAAUGGACAUAUCGGCGUGCGCCAGAAAAAAUCUACAAUAUGUACUAUACAUACAUCAACAGAGACAAAAACAAGAAUAUUGCAUGAUACACAUACACAUACAUUGCUGGGUAUUCUAGGGCUAAGCACAUCACCUACAUGCGCCAGACAUAUAUUAAUUAAUACAUAAACAGGAAUGAUACACCUCUGAUACACAAUCGGUAUGAAUAUUCUCCAAAUGAAGUAAACCUUGCAAGACACUUAAAGCACAAUAAAGUCAUCGCAUAUAUAUACAGAAACAGAAAGAAGUAAACAAACGCAAUUUCAAUGGCUCUAUAGAAGCAAUGGCACACACACAUAUCAUGGAGCAGAAUUCUUCGGUGGGAAUGCUAACACCCAAGAAAAGACAACAGGCAUUGGAUAGAUAACUGAAGCUUAAAUAAAUAUAUAUAGAAA
rnacentral:sRNA from 1 species